rnacentral:lncRNA from 1 species
UACUAGUUCUAGUGCCCGUGCUAACGCACGGGAAACACCGCCUUUUAAUAAUUUCGUACACAAUUAUCAAUUUGCAAAUGCUAUAUAAUUUUGUGAUAAAAUUAAAUGGAUAGUUAUAUUACAUGUAAUAAAUAGUCACACUAUAUUCAAAACACAUGGCGUCAAAAUAACAAACAACCUAAUGAAAAUAUUUAAAAAUCCACCGAGUUGAUAUAAUAUCACACAAUUUAAAAACACAGUUUGUU